AGAAAACACCCCCGAAUGAAAUGCAGCAAACAAAAAAGAAAACACCCCCGAAUGAAAUGCAGCAAACAAAAAGUGUUGAAAACGGAAGUGCUCCAGACCACUAGGGGGAGUCAAAGAAAAUAGUAUUCAUUUCUAUGGGACCAGAUGCAAGAUUCAGAGAAAGAUAUUUGAAAGAAAGUAAAGGUGGCCAUGUUUUGCUGUUUCUGUGGACAAAAUCUAGGAACAAUUCAAGUUUUCUGUUUUUCAUGUGGGAAGAAUGUGCAGAUCUUGGCACAAGCUCAAGACACUGAUUCAAGGAUGGCCUUUCAACACUGAACUUCCAGAAUGCUUUGGAGCAGCAUGCUUCCAUCUUCAGGCCAUUUAUGCGUGCAAGAGUGGAACAGCUGACAUCCAAAAUAUUGGAGGAAAUAUUUGAGGUUCAGCUCAGUGAAAAGGGUAGCAGCAGACGACAUGAGGAAACAAGAGUGCUAGGAUUCUGGAGAGACCUUCUCCUUGACGCAGAAGGAGGACUUUAAGAUUUAUUGCUAUAUUCUGGUGUUAUUGUAAUAUCUGAUACAUAAACUCAUUGCUUCUUUUCUAGAACAAAAAACGGGUUUCUUUCUCCAGGACGUCCUGAUGUUUGCCACCGGCUUGAACACACUACCUCCAUCUUCAAUUCUGCCACCACCAAAACUGAUCUUUCAGGCCACUUCUCGUUUUCCUGUCAGUAGCACCUGCUCCAACACUAUCAAAAUACCAAUGUCCAAGACGUAUCAUCAGUUUAAAGAAGACAUGGACUUUGGGAUUCAAAACUCCCCUGGGUUUGGGCUUUAUUAAGGUCAAAUGCAAAACAAAACAAAAUGCUAUCUAUUUAACUUGUCAAACCUGUUCAGUUAUGACACUGUUUACUGUUUGUGUGCGACCUUCAAAUUUGGAUUCUUGUUUGUUUAUAAGUCCACCAUGUUUUUCAGUUUAAUAUAGUUUUCGACACAUGAUUCCCAACUCUGUGGAUGUGCUAGGCCACACUGUCUCUGGAGGUUCUCAAAAUGUGCCUGAAGGUGUUCAUCUCCACAUUGAAUGUUGUUAGUCUCUGUCACAAACUGUCCGAAUGGCUCCUGGGAAACUAGGAAACCACAGUCUGUUCCACCAAACCUAGGAAUAGAAGAAAUACAGGAAACAUUUAGUUAUAUUUACAUUUCUUCACUAAACUGUUACUGCUCUGACUAUUGUUAUAACCUGUCUAAAUGAUUAAUUGUAUUUAAAUUUACAUUUUAGAAAUUGUCAUCUGAAAUUGUUAGAAUAAAAAGUGACAUACUGUUAA